rnacentral:rRNA from 1 species
UACGUAGGGUGCGAGCGUUGUCCGGAAUUAUUGGGCGUAAAGAGCUUGUAGGUGGUUUGUCGCGUCUGCUGUGAAAAUCCGAGGCUCAACCUCGGACUUGCAGUGGGUACGGGGCAGACUAGAGUGUGGUAGGGGAGACUGGAAUUCCUGGUGUAGCGGUGGAAUGCGCAGAUAUCAGGAGGAACACCGAUGGCGAAGGCAGGUCUCUGGGCCAUUAACUGACACUGGAGAAGCG